rnacentral:rRNA from 1 species
GACGAACGCUGGCGGCGUGCUUAACACAUGCAAGUCGAACGAUGAAGCGGGUGCUUGCACUCGUGGAUUAGUGGCGAACGGGCGAGUAACACGUGAGUAACCUGUCCUUUUCUUUGGGAUAACGGCUGGAAACGGCUGCUAAUACUGGAUAUUCAGGCUGCAUCGCAUGGUGUGGUUUGGAAAGGUUUUUUCUGGGAUUGGGUGGGCUCGCGGCCUAUCAGCUUGUUGGUGGGGUGAUGGCUUACCAAGGCUUUGACGGGUAGCCGGCCUGAGAGGGUGGUCGGUCGCACUGGGACUGAGAUACGGCCCAGACUCCUACGGGAGGCAGCAGUGGGGAAUAUUGCACAAUGGACGAAAGUUUGAUGCAGCGACGCCGCGUGGAGGGUGUAGGCCUUCGGGUUGUGAACUCCUUUUUCUCGCGAAAAAGGCACAGUUUUGGCUGUGUUGAUGGUAGUAGGGGAAGAAGCGCCGGCUAACUACGUG